rnacentral:rRNA from 1 species
UUGACCUCGGAUCAGGUAGGGAUACCCGCUGAACUUAAGCAUAUCAAUAAGCGGAGGAAAAGAAACCAACAGGGAUUGCCUUAGUAACGGCGAGUGAAGCGGCAAUAGCUCAAAUUUGAAAGCUGGCGUCUUCGACGUCCGCGUUGUAAUUUGUAGAGGAUGCUUCGGCGAAGACUCCUGCCUAAGUCCCCUGGAACGGGGCGUCAUAGAGGGUGAGAAUCCCGUAUGUGGCGGGCAGUCUAAGCCAUGUGAAGCUCCUUCGACGAGUCGAGUUGUUUGGGAAUGCAGCUCUAAAUGGGAGGUAAAUUUCUUCUAAAGCUAAAUAUUGGCCAGAGACCGAUAGCGCACAAGUAGAGUGAUCGAAAGAUGAAAAGCACUUUGGAAAGAGAGUUAAAAAGUACGUGAAAUUGUUGAAAGGGAAGCGCUUGCAACCAGACUCGCUCGUAGUUGCUCAGCCGGCCUCUUGGCCGGUGCACUCUUCUACGAUCGGGCCAGCAUCAGUUCGGGCGGCAGGAUAAAGGUGUCGGGAAUGUAGCACCCUUCGGGGUGUGUUAUAGCCCGGCGCGGAAUGCUGCCAGCCUGGACUGAGGAUCUCGCUUCGGCAAGGAUGCUAGCGUAAUGGUUGUAAGCGGCCCGUCUU